rnacentral:rRNA from 1 species
GUCAAAAAAAAGAAGGCUCACGACGGAGACCUAGGCUCUCAGAGACGAUGAAAGGCGCGAUACCGGCGAUAUGCUUUGGGGAGUAGGAAGAAUGCAUUGAUCCAAAGAUUCCUGAAUAGGGCAACCUGUCCGACUAUCUAUGAAUUCAUAAAUAGAUUAGAGGCAACCUGGUGAACUGAAACAUCUCAGUAGCCAGAGGAAAAGAAAGCAAAAGCGAUUCCCGUAGUAGCGGCGAGCGAACUGGGACCAGCCUAAACCAAUUUUAUUGGGGUUGUGGGAAGACAAAAAAAAAUAAAACGGGUUUGGAAUCGAAGAUUCCAAAAAAGACGAAGCAGCUGAAUCCUGCACCAUAGAUGGUGAAAGUCCAGUAGUCAUAUUCAAUAACUUUUUAUAUAAAAUAACUUUUUCGCCAAGUCGUCAAUCAGUCGCCAAUCUAAGAUUGACGAAUAGAUUGACGAAUAGAUUGACGAAUAGAUUGACGAAUAGAUUGACGAAUAGAUUGACGACAAUGUCUAUUUUAAAUUUAAUGUCUAUCCCGAGUAGCAUGGGGCACGUGGAAUCCCGUGUGAAUCUGCGAGGACCACCUCGUAAGGCUAAACACUCCUGAGAGACCGAUAGCGAAAUAGUACAGCGAUGGAAAGGUGAAACAGAACCCCCGUAGGGGAGUGAAACAGAACAUGAAAUCGUGAGCUGACAAGCAGUGGGAGGAUUUUUAAGUCUGACCACGUGCCUGUUGAAGAAUGAGCCGGCGACUUAUAGGAUGUGGCGGGUUAAAGAGUAAGAUCUGGAGCCUAAGCGAAAGCGAGUCUGAAUAGGGCGAAAGUCACUUCUUAUGGACCCGAACCUGGAUGAUCUAACCAUGAGCAAGCUGAAGCUUAGGUAACACUUAGUGGAGGGCUGAACGGACCGAUGUUGAAAAAUCGGCCGAUGACUUGUGGUUAGCGGAGAAAUUCCAAUCGAAUUCAGAGCUAGCUGGUUCUCCCCGAAAUGCGUUGAGGCGCAGCGGCAAUGAUGGGCAAUCUAAGGGUAGAGCGACUGUUUCGGUGCGGGCUGCGAAAGCGGUACCAAGUCGUGGCAAACUCCGAAUAUUAGAUAUGCUUUCCAUGUGCCAGUGAGACAGUCGGAGAUAAGUUUGAUUGUCAAGAGGGAAACAGCCCAGAUCAUCAGCUAAGGCCCCUAAAUGACUCCUAAGUGGAAAAGGAUGUGAAAAUGCUGAAACAACCAGGAAAUUCGCUUAGAAGCAGCUAUUUUUUAAAGAGUGCGUAAUAGCUCACUGGUAAAGCGUUCUUGCGCCGACAAUGGCCGGGACUAAGGAGUCUGCCGAAGCUAUGAGAUUUUUUAUUUCUUUUAUUUAUAUCGGUCGCGCUCUCGGUUCGCUUCGGCGGAGCCGAUGCGAAAAGCCGAAGCACCGAACAAAAGAAAAAAUAAAAAUCGGUAGGGGAGCGUUCAGCGCUGGGUGAAGCUUUGACGUAAGUUUGAGUGGACGGCGCUGAAGUGAGAAUGUCGGCUUGAGUAACGAAAACAUUGGUGAGAAUCCAAUGCCCCGAAAACCUAAGGGUUCCUUUACAAGGUUCGUCCAUGAAGGGUGAGUCAGGACCUAAGGCGAGGCCGAUAGGCGUAGUCGAUGGCAAACAGGUUGAUAUUCCUGUACUUUUUUGAGGGGGAACCGAGGGACGAAGUCGGCUAAAUUGAGUCUGUGAAUGGAAUGCAGUGGAAAUGUUCAAGGUAUCGCUUCUUCGCGGAGCGAAGAGAACAGAUCGAAGAAAAACGAAUCUGUAGCUGAGGCAUGAUCCCACUCUCCUAAACUUGUUUGGGCAGAGUGUCAAUGAUGUCAUACUUCCAAGAAAAGCUCGUACACCAUCUCGCCGCUUGCGGCAAGAUUAAACCUUCAAAAAACCUGUACCUGAAACCGACACAGGUAGGUUGGUAGAGAAUACUAAGGGGCGCAAGAGAACUCUCUCUAAGGAACUCGGCAAAUUGGCCCCGUAACUUCGGGAGAAGGGGCGCCUCUGACUUUGUCAGGGGCCACAGUAUAAAGAGUGUGGCAACUGUUUACCAAAAACACAGGUCUCCGCAAAGUCGUAAGACAAUAUAUGGGGGCUGACGCCUGCCCAGUGCCGGAAGGUGAAGGAAGUUGGUUAUUUAGGCUUCGUGCCUGGAGAAGCUGACAACCGAAGCCCCGGUGAACGGCAGCUGUAACUAUGACAGUUCUAAGGUAGCGAAAUUCAUUGUCGAGUAAGUUUCGACCUGCACGAAAGGCGUAAUGAUCACACUACUGUCUCAGAGAGAGGCUUGGUGAAAUAGACUUAUCCGUGAAGAUGCGGAUUAACAACAUUUGGACAGAAAGACCCUAUGAAGCUUGACUGUAUCCUGGAAUUGGGUUCGGGCUUUUCUUGCGCAGUCUAGGUGGGAGGCAUUGAAGAUUUCUUUCCGGAGAGAUUGGAGCCAUCAGUGAGAGACCACUCUGGAAAGGCUAGAAUCCUAAGAGUGAUCCCUAAUCGGGACAUUUGACGUUUUCAGGAGGGCAGUUUUUUUGGGGCGAAAGUCCUCCUAAAAGGUAACGGAGGCGCGCAAAGGUUUCCUCAGUCUGGACGGAAAUCAGACGUUACAGAGUGUAAAGGCAAAAGGAAGCUUGACUGCAAGACCUACAAGUCGAGCAGGGGCGAAAGCCGGCCUUAGUGAUCCGACGGUUUCCGUGUGGAAGGGCCGUCGCUCAACGGAUAAAAGUUACUCUAGGGAUAACAGGCUGAUCUUCUCCAAGAGUUCACAUCGACGAGAAGGUUUGGCACCUCGAUGUCGGCUCAUCACAUCCUGGGGCUGUAGUAGGUCCCAAGGGUUGGGCUGUUCGCCCAUUAAAGUGGUACGUGAGCUGGGUUCAAAACGUUUUACAUUGUGUAAGCAAUCAACAAACAAAAGUUGCAGUAUAAUACGCCAACUUCCUUAAGAAUUCCUUUCUUAUAGGAAGAAGACAUAGUCCAUGCCCUUACGAAAGUUAGGGGUUUGUCAAUCUUUGAUUGACAAUUACAUGCGUAAGACAGUUUGGUCCAUAUCCGAUGUUGUCGUUAGAGCGCUGAGGGGAUCCUUAAAUAGUACGAGAGGAUUUUUAAGGUCGUGCCUAUGGUGUAUCAGUUCUCUCUCCAGAGGGAAACGCUGAGUAGCUACGCACGGUUUAGAUAACCGCUGAAAGCAUCUAAGUGGGAAGCUUUCCUCAAGAUGAGCGCUCUCCAUUAUGCCACAGCUAGACAAGCUGAUGAUAGGUAUCAGGUGAAAGGUCUGCAAGGAUUUGAGCCGAGAUAUACUAAAGGCCAAUUGAUUUUGACCA